AUGGGGCACCGGGGGGACACCAAGCCUGUCAGUGGCGGCGGGUUCAGUGAGAAUGGCAAGUUUAGCUAUGGUUAUGCGAGCAGUCUAGGGAAAAGAUCUUCCAUGGAGGACUUCCACGAGACGAGAAUCGAUGGCGUCGAUGGAGAGACCGUCGGAUUGUUCGGUGUUUUCGACGGCCAUGGUGGAGCUCGAGCCGCGGAGUUCGUCAAGCAGAACCUUUUCAGCAACUUAAUCAAGCACCCAAAGUUCUUCACCGAUACCAAGUCUGCUAUUGCUGAAACUUUCACCCAUACGGAUUCAGAGCUCCUGAAGGCCGAUACCACCCACAACCGAGAUGCAGGGUCGACGGCCUCCACGGCCAUUCUCGUUGGCGAUCGCCUGGUGGUGGCAAACGUUGGGGACUCUAGGGCGGUCAUUUGUAGGGGUGGUGAUGCCAUAGCCGUGUCAAGGGACCAUAAGCCUGACCAGACAGAUGAAAGGCAGAGGAUAGAGGACGCCGGAGGUUUCGUGAUGUGGGCAGGUACAUGGCGUGUGGGCGGCGUGCUUGCUGUUUCUCGGGCAUUUGGUGACAAACUGUUGAAGCAGUACGUGGUUGCCGAUCCAGAGAUCAAGGAGGAGGUGGUCGACAGCUCCCUGGAGUUCCUCAUCCUGGCGAGCGACGGGCUGUGGGACGUCGUCUCCAACGAGGAAGCCGUGGCCAUGGUGAAGCCGAUCGUGGACUCGCAGGAGGCGGCCAAGAAGCUCCUCGUCGAGGCAACGCGGAGGGGAAGCGCCGACAACAUCACCUGCGUCGUCGUCCGUUUCCUGGACCAGCAGCCCCCGGCGGCGGCCACCAACGGAUCCCCAGCCCCUGCCGCAGCGAGCAAGUGA
rnacentral:rRNA from 1 species